rnacentral:rRNA from 1 species
CUAACACAUGCAAGUCGAACGGUAGCACAGAGAGCUUGCUCUCGGGUGACGAGUGGCGGACGGGUGAGUAAUGUCUGGGAAACUGCCUGAUGGAGGGGGAUAACUACUGGAAACGGUAGCUAAUACCGCAUAACGUCGCAAGACCAAAGAGGGGGACCUUCGGGCCUCUUGCCAUCAGAUGUGCCCAGAUGGGAUUAGCUAGUAGGUGGGGUAAUGGCUCACCUAGGCGACGAUCCCUAGCUGGUCUGAGAGGAUGACCAGCCACACUGGAACUGAGACACGGUCCAGACUCCUACGGGAGGCAGCAGUGGGGAAUAUUGCACAAUGGGCGCAAGCCUGAUGCAGCCAUGCCGCGUGUAUGAAGAAGGCCUUCGGGUUGUAAAGUACUUUCAGCGGGGAGGAAGGUGUUGUGGUUAAUAACCGCAGCAAUUGACGUUACCCGCAGAAGAAGCACCGGCUAACUCCGUGCCAGCAGCCGCGGUAAUACGGAGGGUGCAAGCGUUAAUCGGAAUUACUGGGCGUAAAGCGCACGCAGGCGGUCUGUCAAGUCGGAUGUGAAAUCCCCGGGCUCAACCUGGGAACUGCAUUCGAAACUGGCAGGCUAGAGUCUUGUAGAGGGG